rfam:Pseudomassariella vexata strain CBS 129021 BCR38scaffold_1, whole genome shotgun sequence.
ACAUACGACCAUAGGUUGCAGAGAACUCGGGAUCCCGUCCGCUCUCCUAUAGAUAAACUGCAAACUGCUAGAUUAGUAGUUAGGUGGGUGACCACUAGCGAAUCCCUAGUGUUGUAUGUU